ensembl:lncRNA
GGGGUCUAAUGGAGCUCUGUGGGGUUUCUAUGGGGUCUCUGUGGGGUUUCCGUGGGGCUCCGUGGGGGGUUUUCCUCUGGGGUCUCUCGGGGGGGUUCUAUGGGGCUCCCCUGUGGGUCUCUGUGGGGUCUCUGGGUCUCUAUGGGGUCUCUAUGGGGCCCUAUAGGUCUCUAUGGGGUCUCUAUGGGCCUCCUAUGGGGCUCAGUGGGGCUCUAUGGGGCCCUAAAGGUCUCUAUGGGGUCCCUAUGGGGUUUCUAUGGGCCUCUAUGGGGUUUAUGGGUUCCCAUGGGUCCCUAUGGGGUUUCUGUGGGGCUCAGUGGGGCUCUGUGUGGGGUUUUCCUGUGGGGUCUCCGGGGGGGUUCUAUGGGGCGCUGUGGGUCUCCCCUGUGGGGCCUAUGGGGCUCUAUGGGGUCUCUAUGGGGUCCCUAUGGGGUUUCUAUGGGGCUCAGUGGGGCUCCAUGUGGGGCCUAUGGGGUCCUAUAGGUCUCUAUGGGGACUCUAUGGGUCUCCCCUGUGGGGCCUAUGGGGCUCUAUGGGGUCCCUAUGGGGUCCCUAUGGGGCUCCUAUGGGGCUCAGUGGGGCUCUGUGUGGGGUUUCUGUCGUGGGUCCCUAUGGGGUCUCUAUGGGGCCCUAUAGGUCUCUGUGGGGCCUAUUUGGGCCCUAUAGGUACCUAUGGGUCCCUAUAGUUCUCUAUGGGGUCCCUGCAGGUCCCAAUAGGUUCCCAUGGGUCCCAAUGGGGCGCUGUGGGUCCCUAUGGGUCCCUAUGGGUUCCUAUGGGGUGCUGUGGGUCCCAAUGGAUCCCAAUGUGUCCCAAUGGGUCCCUACGGGUCCCGAUGGGUUCCUAUGGGGCACUGCGGGUCCCGAUGGGUCCCCAUAUGUCCCUAUGGGUCCCAAUGGGUUCCUAUAGGGUGCUGUGGGUCCCAAUGGGUCCCAAUGUGUCCCCAUACGUCCCAAUGUGUCCCACUGCGUCCCAACGCGUUCCUAUGGGGCGCUGUGGGUCCCUAUGGGUCCCUAUGGGUCCCACUGUGUCCCAGCGCGUUCCUAUGGGGCACUGUGGGUCCCUAUGGGUCCCUACGUUUCCCUAUGGGUCCCACUGUGUCCCAACGUGUUCCUAUGGGGCGCUGUGGGUCCCAAUGGGUCCCUCUGUGUCCCUCUGUGUCCCUGUGUGUCCCUAUGGGUCCCUGUGGGUCCAAUGGGUCCCUAUGUGUCCCUAUGGGUCCCUAUGGGUCCCUACAGAUUCCUAUGGGGCGCUGUGGGUCCCUAUGGGUCCCUAUGGGUCCCUACAGAUUCCUAUGGGGCGCUGUGGGUCCCUAUG